ensembl:lncRNA
AUUAAGCAAAAGCAGGCUAUGGAAGAGCUCCAAGUCACAGGCUAGCAGCUCUUUGAGUUCAUGCUGCUUUAGGAUAAAAAAAACCUCUAUUCCAUGUUGUUUUGAAGAGGGCUAUCCAGGAGAAUCCAAAGUGAAGCCCAGGAGUGAAAUCAAAAUUAAGCACGCAGUAAAAAGUUUCAAUACUCAAAUGAGAAUUUUGGUUCUUUUUUCUGAAGCAGUAAAGGUAAUGAUUUGUUAAGCAGUAAGGACAUGCCCUUUAAUUCCUAGGCAAAGGUGCCAGAGGAUACUGGGAUGAAAAACUGCAUUACUAUGAUGCGAGAUCUGUCUGCAUCUAUGCAUUGUCCCAAGAGGCUAAGGACUGGAUACCUCUGAAUGUGCAACACUACAUACAAAGUGAGAUUCAUUUAGCUUUCUCUGGAUGUGUAUUAUUUUUAGCUUACAUUAAAUUAGCCCAUCUGUUGGUAUUACUAGGAUUCUUAAAAAGAGACUUACAAGAGAGAAACAUUCUGUUUUUAUUGUGAAGGUACGUUCAUACAGUCUCCAUUGUUUUACUUAAACUAAUUACACACCUUUUCCAUAUUUAAAAGAAACAUGUGUAUUUUAUUACAUUUUCAUAUGGAUGAGGCAUUCUUUUUUGACAGUUUACGUAAGGGUGAAAAAAGAGAACACUGGAUGCUGCUUAGAGCCACAGCCAUCUUUAUGAAUUGCUAUUUACUAAUUUCCUUUCCUUCUUGUCUCCAGGGAUCCUUGAAGGUGGCCGAGGUCAUCACAGCAGACUGCAAACUGAUUGAAGCCUCUGAGGAGUUGCUCAGGACAUGGAUGCCAUUUUCUAAAGUUUUUCUAUGUACAUUUGCAAGCAGAGUGGUAAAUCUUGCCUUCGUUAUGAAGAAAAGAAUGGGGAUGGGAGUGAAAUAG